rnacentral:rRNA from 1 species
AUUGAACGCUGGCGGAAUGCUUUACACAUGCAAGUCGAACGGCAGCAUAGGUGCUUGCACCUGAUGGCGAGUGGCGAACGGGUGAGUAAUACAUCGGAACGUACCUUAUCGUGGGGGAUAACGCAGCGAAAGCUGUGCUAAUACCGCAUACGCCCUGAGGGGGAAAGCGGGGGAUCGAAAGACCUCGCGCGAUUAGAGCGGCCGAUGCCUGAUUAGCUUGUUGGUGGGGUAAAAGCCCACCAAGGCGACGAUCAGUAGCUGGUCUGAGAGGACGAUCAGCCACACUGGGACUGAGACACGGCCCAGACUCCUACGGGAGGCAGCAGUGGGGAAUUUUGGACAAUGGGGGCAACCCUGAUCCAGCCAUGCCGCGUGUGUGAAGAAGGCCUUCGGGUUGUAAAGCACUUUAAGCAGGGAGGAAGGUUUGCUGGUUAAUACCUGGCAAAAUUGACGUUACCUGCAGAAUAAGCACCGGCUAACUCUGUGCCAGCCGCCGCAGUAA